GGAGGAAAAGAAACCAACAGGGAUUGCCCUAGUAACGGCGAGUGAAGCGGCAACAGCUCAAAUUUGAAAUCUGGCUCUCGGGCCCGAGUUGUAAUUUGUAGAGGAUGCUUUUGGUGAGGUGCCUUCCGAGUUCCCUGGAACGGGACGCCAUAGAGGGUGAGAGCCCCGUCUGGUUGGACACCGAGCCUCUGUAAAGCUCCUUCGACGAGUCGAGUAGUUUGGGAAUGCUGCUCUAAAUGGGAGGUAUAUGUCUUCUAAAGCUAAAUAUUGGCCAGAGACCGAUAGCGCACAAGUAGAGUGAUCGAAAGAUGAAAAGCACUUUGAAAAGAGAGUUAAAAAGCACGUGAAAUUGUUGAAAGGGAAGCGCUUGUGACCAGACUUGGGCUUGGUUAAUCAUCCGGCGUUCUCGCCGGUGCACUUUUCCAGUCCAGGCCAGCAUCAGUUUGCCUUGGGGGAUAAAAGCUUCGGGAAUGUGGCUCCUCCGGGAGUGUUAUAGCCCGUUGCACAAUACCCUGGGGCGGACUGAGGUUCGCGCAUUCGCAAGGAUGCUGGCGUAAUGGUCAUCAGCGACC
rnacentral:rRNA from 1 species